GAUCCGGUGGCCUAGUGGUUAGAGGGUCCGCCUUGGAUGCGAGUGGUCGUGGGUUCGAUCCCCGGCUGAGUCA